rnacentral:tRNA from 1 species
GCCGGUGUAGCUCAGCUGGUAGAGCAGGGGUUUUGUAAACCUCAGGCCGUGGGUUCGAAUCCUACCUCUGGCACCA